AAAAUCCCUAAACCUAAUCCUCAGAACGACGUCGUUGCUCGCACCACCGGAGCCGCCAUGACCCCUCUGUCAAGUUGGUAAAGAGAAGGUCAAUAUUAGAAGUACAAGUACAAACUGGGAAAAGCACUGCCAGAUUUAGCUACCAUCAAUCUCAAUUUGUCCAAGACAAGGUAAAAAAACACUGGUUUUUUUUUUACUAGAAAAGUUGCACCUUUUUUAUUUCCCAGAUAUCUAACUGGUUUCAAAAUUGCAUAGUAUUUUCCAGAUAUCUAACUUGCCGUAAAUCGAAAUUUGCAUCCUUUUUUCUUAUCCCUAAUAGACAAGUGCAUCUUGGUUUUGUUUCCUUUUUAUUGUCAUUUCUAUUUUAAUUAUGUUUCUUGUGGAACAAAAUCCAUAAUUUAUUUGAAGUGUGAAGUAA